AGGGGAAUAUUGGACAAUGGGCGCAAGCCUGAUCCAGCCAUGCCGCGUGAGUGAUGAAGGCCCUAGGGUUGUAAAGCUCUUUCACCGGUGAAGAUAAUGACGGUAACCGGAGAAGAAGCCCCGGCUAACUUCGUGCCAGCAGCCGCGGUAAUACGAAGGGGGCUAGCGUUGUUCGGAUUUACUGGGCGUAAAGCGCACGUAGGCGGACUUUUAAGUCAGGGGUGAAAUCCCGGGGCUCAACCCCGGAACUGCCUUUGAUACUGGAAGUCUUGAGUAUGGUAGAGGUGAGUGGAAUUCCGGGUGUAGAGGUGAAAUUCGUAGAUAUUCGGAGGAACACCAGUGGCGAAGGCGGCUCACUGGACCAUUACUGACGCUGAGGUGCGAAAGCAUGGGGAGCAAACAGG
rnacentral:rRNA from 1 species